CCCGCCUUGACCAGAGCCCCGCCAGGCUGCGUCAGCCGAGUUUCGGGGCCCUGAGGUGCUGCCCGCCCGCUCCCGGCUCUGUUCACUCGUGUUUCAGCGAGCCCCGAGGGUUUCUCCUGGCUGAGGUGGCCCCACGCUGCCCACCCAGGGGAAGCCGUGCUGGGUCCUGGGGAGAGGUCCGGCACACGGAUCCCCCGCGGACAUACGGACACUUCCCACGGGUGCGCUUCCAGUGCCGGCGCUUGGACACCCGCUUCGUUCGGAAGUUCUGGAAUACGGAUAACGCGGAGUUUCUCUGACGAGCUAAUUGAAUGCCAGGUCUCCAAGUUGGAAUCCAUCCACCUUCUCCUCGUGGCCAUAGACCACAUGGGUUGAAUGUCACCAUGCAGAGAAGUGAAACAGCUGCCACAUUCUCCUUCUUGAGGAUGCAUCCCAGAAUGGGCUGUUUCUUCCGAGAGGACAACGUAGCCUCCAAUUUGGCAGGUUUUCACUAAGGAGCCUUCAUGGUGUCACCAGCAUUUCCACCAUGCUACUGCAAGG